rnacentral:rRNA from 1 species
GACGUAGGGCGCGAGCGUUGUCCGGAUUUAUUGGGCGUAAAGAGCUCGUAGGCGGCUUGUCGCGUCGUCCGUGAAAACCUGCGGCUCAACUGCAGGCUGGCGGUCGAUACGGGCAGGCUGGAGUUCGGUAGGGGAGACUGGAAUUCCUGGUGUAGCGGUGGAAUGCGCAGAUAUCAGGAGGAACAACAAUAGCGAAGGCAGCCCGGCGGGAAGUUACUUACACUAAGGCGCGAAAGCGUGGGGAGCGAACAGG